rnacentral:rRNA from 1 species
UACGUAGGGGGCAAGCGUUGUCCGGAAUCAUUGGGCGUAAAGAGCUCGUAGGCGGUUUGUCGCGUCUGCUGUGAAAACCCGAGGCUCAACCUCGGGCCUGCAGUGGGUACGGGCAGACUAGAGUGCGGUAGGGGAGAUUGGAAUUCCUGGUGUAGCGGUGGAAUGCGCAGAUAUCAGGAGGAACACCAAUGGCGAAGGCAGAUCUCUGGGCCGUAACUGACGCUGAGGAGCGAAAGCAUGGGGAGCGAACAGG